rnacentral:rRNA from 1 species
GGAUCCAGACUUUGAUCCUGGCUCAGGAUAAACGCUGGCGGCGCACAUAAGACAUGCAAGUCGAACGAACUUAACCAUUAGUUUACUAUUGGAGCGGUUAGUGGCGGACUGGUGAGUAACACGUAAGCAACCUGCCUAUCAGAGGGGAACAACAGUUAGAAAUGACUGCUAAUACCGCAUAUGCCUUAGAACCACAUGGCUCAAAAGGGAAAGGAGCAAUCCGCUGAUAGAUGGGCUUGCGUCUGACUAGCUAGUUGGUGGGGUAAUGGCCUACCAAGGCAACGAUCAGUAGCCGAACUGAGAGGUUGAACGGCCACAUUGGGACUGAGAUACGGCCCAGACUCCUACGGGAGGCAGCAGUCGGGAAUAUUGCGCAAUGGAGGAAACUCUGACGCAGUGACGCCGCGUGCAGGAAGAAGGUUUUCGGAUUGUAAACUGCUUUAGACAGGGAAGAAAAAAGACAGUA